rnacentral:tRNA from 1 species
GGAGGCGUGGCCGAGUGGCUGAAGGCGACGGUCUUGAAAACCGUUAGGCGCGCAAGCGUCUCGGGGGUUCGAAUCCCUCCGCCUCCG